GAUGAACGCUAGCGGCAGGCCUAACACAUGCAAGUCGAGGGGUAGCAGGAUUAAGCUUGCUUAAUUGCUGACGACCGGCGCACGGGUGCGUAACGCGUAUGCAACCUACCUUAUACUGGGGUAUAGCCCGGAGAAAUUCGGAUUAAUCCCCCAUAGUACUAAUGAAUCGCAUGGUUUAUUAGUUAAAGGAUUGCGGUAUAAGAUGGGCAUGCGUCCUAUUAGCUAGAUGGUGAGGUAACGGCUCACCAUGGCUACGAUAGGUAGGGGGCCUGAGAGGGUGGGCCCCCACCCUGGUACUGAGACACGGACCAGACUCCGCCGGGAGGCAGCAGUGAGGAAUAUUGGUCAAUGGGCGCAAGCCUGAGCCAGCCAUGCCGCCUGCAGGAAGAAUGCCCUAUGGGUUGUAAACUGCUUUUAUUUGGGAAUAAACCUCUUCACGUGUAGAGAGCUGAAGGUACCAAAUGAAUAAGCACCGGCUAACUCCGUGCCAGCCGCCGCCGUAA
rnacentral:rRNA from 1 species